rnacentral:tRNA from 1 species
AUUCUCUUAGUUUAACAGUAAAACGAUAUUUUUAAUAAAAUAUUACAUUUUGGUUCAAAUCCAAAAGAGAAUA